rnacentral:rRNA from 1 species
UGGGGAAUAUUGCACAAUGGGCGCAAGCCUGAUGCAGCCAUGCCGCGUGUAUAAAAGAAGGCCUUCGGGGUUGUAAAAGUACUUUUCAGCGGGGAUGAAGGGGAGUAAAAGUUAAUACCUUUGCUCAUUGACGUUACCCGCAGAAGAAGCACCGGCUAACUCCGUGCCAGCAGCCGCGGUAAUACGGAGGGUGCAAGCGUUAAUCGGAAUUACUGGGCGUAAAGCGCACGCAGGCGGUUUGUUAAGUCAGAUGUGAAAUCCCCGGGCUCAACCUGGGAACUGCAUCUGAUACUGGCAAGCUUGAGUCUCGUAGAGGGGGGUAGAAUUCCAGGUGUAGCGUGAAAUGCGUAGAGAUCUGGAGGAAUACCGGUGGCGAAGGCGGCCCCCCUGGACGAAGACUGACGCUCAGGUGCGAAAGCGUGGGGCAGCAAACAGGAUUAGNUACCCUGGUAGUCCGCGCCGUAAACAUGUCGACUUGGACGGUUGUGCCCUUGAGGCGUGG